AAAGGCUUUUACAUCAAAUAUUGAUAAUGAUAAUAAUAAUGAACACAUGUUGAGCACUUACCAUGUCUCAAGCACUGCUCUAGAGCUUCCCAUGAAAGAACCCCUCUAAUCUUCAGAACAACCCUGUGAGAACUGGCUGAAGUUUACUUUUUGGUUCUCCAGAGACCUAGCUUCUUCCAAUGUGGUCUAUUUAAUCUCCUGUCAUGUGGGAAAUUAUAUUCAAAAUCUCCAUGAUCCUCUGUCCAUAGUAAGUUAUGCAUGUAGUGAGAAGUACAUGCCACAAGGUCUUGAGAUUAUAUCUGCAAUGUGUUGCUGCUGGCUGUUGAUCAAGAUAGGCUGGGAGAAAAACAUUAUUUUCAGGUGUGAAAAACUGUCACCUUUAUCAAAUAAUUCUUCUUGCAUAUUUCCCAAGACAUUGUAGCCUAUUUAAACUCGGGAGGUUAAUUUUGUAGCAUUCAUUAUGACCGAAAAUGUAGUUCACACAAUCAUGAUGCUCCCUUUAUUAGGUGUUACUGUUAAACAAUAUUAAAAUACA
ensembl:lncRNA novel transcript